ensembl:snoRNA
CACUAGUGAUGAAAAGAUUCUGCCAAAUGACCAAAUGGACUGAUUAUAACCCUUACCGUUCCAUUAUUUCUGAAGUG